rnacentral:lncRNA from 1 species
CAUAUAUUGAAGUAUGAUAUAGAAGACGAAACAGAAGAAAGCUCUUCCCUCGAUCUUAAAAUCGGGCUCAGUGAGGAGUUUCCAGAACGAUACUGAGAAGAAAUCUUGGACAUGGUUGAAAGGGAUGAGAACCACCCAAGUAGGCCAUGACGUGUUUAUUGAUUUCCCAGGUAUAAUUCACUAUUCAAUUGGGUACCUUUUCAAACCCUUUCUAUGGGCAGGUAGCAGAUGGCCACACAGUUCUAUGAUGGACCAGGAGAUAUAAGUCUACGUAUACGAUAUGAUAUAUACGAUUGGCAAAAAAAGAUGGAAAUAAGUGAAAGUCUAUCUAAAACAAAACAAAAAACCUCUCAGGUUCGAGCAUAUGUAAUCACUAAUCACUUAUCAUUUUAUGUAAUUAACAUGCGAUAAUCAAUGAACAUAUGACAUAUUUAACACAAAUGCAGUUUCCUCUUAUGGUUUUUGGUAUUAUAUAUCACGCGUGCAUGUUAUCGCAUGCAUGUUAUAUUGAAUUUCCAGAUUUUUUCAUGGUGAGCACUGAGCAGGUCGGAUAUGAGAUUCAUCUCGAUUUAAAACAUUCUGGCACUGUUGCAUUGGCCACUGGUGGAGAAAAUCUCGAUGCUUCCCAAGUAUCCCAAAUCAUUUUACUUGAAUUAAUUACCAAGUUUAUGAUGGUAUAUCUUGUUAGAAUAACUAUCAGUGUGUUGUGGAUCAAAUUUUGUGAUGUGGUAUGUCCUCAUGUGACUUGUCUGUUUUCUUACUUUUUUCUUUUUUCUUUUUUUUUUUUACUAGGAUAAAUGAAGCUUAUGUUAAUUAUGAGAAAAAC